CUACUUCUCCACAUUGAAUAAUGAAGCGAUUGGCGUGCUGCAUUGUCAAUGUAUCAUUUUGUCCAAAAAAUUUGGUGAAAUCUGGUACCUUGUACUGGUUUGGGAGAGGAAUUAAAUCAUAUGCUAGAGGGUAUGGUCUCCGAUAAGAAUAAAUAUUAACUUUGGGUUUUAUCUCAAACUGAAUCAGCCUCCUGCCGAUGAACUAGCUGAAUUUCUACAGGAGGCACAUCCUGAUAUGCUUCCACAUGUCUUUGUGGCACACGAUCUCCACCAAUAGGCAUAUUCGCCACUGUUUGUGGCCCUCCAAUCUACUGGACAGGGUUGAAGGGUCGAGAUGGCGGACUAGAGGGGGGUGAAUAGUCCUUUCUAAAAAUUAUUACGCCGGCUAACCGAAACAAAUGCGGAAUUAAAACUAUCGGUCUAGCCAAGACUACACCCCUCUAUCUAAGUUCUAUAGCACCUUGAAAAGAUCCUAAACAAGCA
rnacentral:lncRNA from 1 species